rnacentral:rRNA from 1 species
UACGUAGGGUGCAAGCGUUAAUCGGAAUUAGCUGGCGUAAGCGUACGCUAGGCGGCUUUGCAAGACAAGGUGGUGAAACUCCCCGGGCCUAACCUGGGAACUGCAUUUGUGACUGCAUGGCUAGAGUUUGUCAAGAGGGGGGUGGAAUUCCACGUGUAAGCAGUGAAAUGCGUAGAUAAUGGUGGAGGAACCACCGAUGGCGAAGGCAGCCCCUGGGAUGUGAACUG